rnacentral:misc_RNA from 1 species
GGAGAAAAAAAAAAGGGAGAGUUGGACCAAAACUGACAUUGGCAAAAAUACUCGGACUCGCUUAAUAUUGCGUCUUUGUUGUAACUUGUAAGGAAACAACUGUUGGGUGGUAAAGAAAUAUGUGCACAAAAUUAGCAUGACAAAGAUGAUGAUGCUACGAGAGAAAGAAAUAAAGAGACUGGACAAGGUAUAACCAUAUAAUUGCAUUUAUAGAAAGGUAGAAUUGUGCCCACAAACAAUGAGCUAAGAGUCGAUUGAGAUGGAUUGGAAAUGUUCCUCAUAGAACAACCUAUGUACUACUAUAGAAUGUUGAGCAUAUUGAAGUUGCAAACGGGCGAAAGACAUGAAAAAGAUUUCAAAUAAUGUGUUGUAGUGAAUUAGAGAGAAAAGGGCUUGGCUGGCAGCUAUAAACCUAUGGUAAACAAAUAAAGUAUGAGAAAAUCCAUUUAACCAAUUGCAACUAGCUAAAGAUUGAGGCUGUUAUGGAUGCAUUUACGAGCAAGACUUACGGAAGACAUGAUCCACAAGAGAUUCCAGUCAAGUCAAUAGUAAUAAGAAUGACAACAAAUAAAUUAGCAUUAAAGGUGGAUUCAGCAGUAGUAACAACUAAUUAUUAGCUGAAGAUAUUACUCUAAUUGUCAUUA